UCUGGAAUUCAACCAUUAAUUCAACGCAGCGUGAUCAUUCAUUUAUUUACUCAUUCUACAAGUUCGUGUCGAGAGCCAGUUGUGUGCCAGGUGCUCACACUGGUCUUGGGGACAGAGCAGUGAUCAAAACAGACACAAGUCUCCGCCCGCAUGGAUCUUACACUCUAGCUGGGAAGAGCCAGUAAACCAAUUGGUCACUCUGGCUGCUGUCUUUGGAAUAGACAGGAGACAGGACAGAAGCGAGGGGGUGAAUUAAAAGGCUAUGACAACAAUCCAGAAAGUGGAAUGUAAUAUUUCAGCUUAACUCAAUAUCCAAGACCAUCUGCCAAGGACUUCACUUUUUUCCUCUGCUGGAGGAUGUCAGUCUUUCUAGCAACUGAUUUACAGCCGGCAAUUGUUCACCUUGGGCUGAGGACUAAAGUCCAAACGAAUCUGUUGACCUCAGCUGCAGCUGCAUAGUUGAGAUUUCAGUGUGCUGCAUAGAAACUGUGAUGAAAUGAAUUCAACUUCCUGAAGAGGAGAAGAGUCUGCAGGUGGAUCUGCAACACUGGUUGCAUCUGACCUUCAGGGUUCAUUUGCACUCCCAGUCCUGCACAGAGGGGCAGUGACCAAGAACAAAGAUGAUGGAAGUGGUGUGCUGGGAGAGGGAGCAUGGCACUUUCUGCCCUCCAAGGGGUUCAGGCUGCUUGGCGUUAACAGAGAAAUGUCCAAGUUAUUUUACUUAUCAACAUUUUCAAAACAGAAAUGGAAACCUGUGUUCUGAUUGUCUUUAAUUAUGGGAACCCCUAGAAACAUAAGAGGGACAUUAAACAAUGUUACAUCAUUAAAAAUUAUGCUGGAGGCCAGCCUGGUGGUGCAGCAGUUAAGUAAGCAUGUUCCACUUCAGUGGCUCGGGGUUCGCUGGUUUGGAUCCUGGGUGCAGACAUGGCACUGCUUG